UACGUAGGGUGCGAGCGUUAAUCGGAAUUACUGGGCGUAAAGCGUGCGCAGGCGGUUCGUUAAGUUCGUUGUGAAAGCCCCGGGCUCAACCUGGGAACUGCAAUGGAAACUGGCGGGCUUGAGUGUGGCAGAGGGGGGUGGAAUUCCGCGUGUAGCAGUGAAAUGCGUAGAGAUGCGGAGGAACACCGAUGGCGAAGGCAGCCCCCUGGGAUGACACUGACGCUCAUACACGAAAGCGUGGGGAGCAAACAGG
rnacentral:rRNA from 1 species